rnacentral:rRNA from 1 species
UACGAAGGGGGCUAGCGUUGCUCGGAAUCACUGGGCGUAAAGGGUGCGUAGGCGGGUCUUUAAGUCAGGGGUGAAAUCCUGGAGCUCAACUCCAGAACUGCCUUUGAUACUGAGGAUCUUGAGUUCGGGAGAGGUGAGUGGAACUGCGAGUGUAGAGGUGAAAUUCGUAGAUAUUCGCAAGAACACCAGUGGCGAAGGCGGCUCACUGGCCCGAUACUGACGCUGAGGCACGAAAGCGUGGGGAGCAACAGGG